AAUAUAGGAUGCCUGAUUUAAGGAUAAUUUUGAUAGAAUUAAAUAUGUGAACUUCACUCUUAUAA
rnacentral:tRNA from 1 species